CCUCUACCCUGGCUGCAGUGGUAUAGGAGGUACCCCCUAUACCCAGGUGAGAGGGGUCUCCUGCCUCCAGUGGCAAGUCACCUCUACCCUGCAAUGUCCAGUAUAUGAACUCCGCUGAUAACCAGGUGGAAGGGAUCUGCCACCCAGAGUGUCGAGUCCCCACUCCCUGUCUCUGGCUGUAUAGGAGCUCCCCCAACAUCCAAGAUGUGGGGUCUCCCAAAUACAGGGGCGAGUCUCCUCUACACUGGAUGUGGGGAUAUAGGAGAUCCCCCAAACACCAAGAUGGGAACAGUCUCCCACCUGGAGCAAUGAGUCUCUGGCUGUGGCUGUAUACAAGC
rnacentral:lncRNA from 1 species